rnacentral:rRNA from 1 species
GGACGAACGCUGGCGGCGUGCUUAACACAUGCAAGUCGAGCGGUAACGGCCCUUUCGGGGGUACGACGAGCGGCGAACGGGUGAGUAACACGUGGGUGACCUGCCCUUAGCUCCUGGGAUAAGCCUGGGAAACUGGGUCGUAAUACCGGAUAUGACUCCAUGACGCAUGUUGUCGGGGUGGAAAGCCUUGUGCGGCUAGGGAUGGGCCCGCGGCCUAU